rnacentral:rRNA from 1 species
GCCGCGUGUGUGAAGAAGGCCUUCGGGUUGUAAAGCACUUUCAGUCGUGAGGAAGGUAGUGUAGUUAAUAGCUGCAUUAUUUGACGUUAGCGACAGAAGAAGCACCGGCUAACUCCGUGCCAGCAGCCGCGGUAAUACGGAGGGUGCGAGCGUUAAUCGGAAUUACUGGGCGUAAAGCGCAUGCAGGUGGUUUGUUAAGUCAGAUGUGAAAGCCCGGGGCUCAACCUCGGAAUUGCAUUUGAAACUGGCAGACUAGAGUACUGUAGAGGGGGGUAGAAUUUCAGGUGUAGCGGUGAAAUGCGUAGAGAUCUGAAGGAAUACCGGUGGCGAAGGCGGCCCCCUGGACAGAUACUGACACUCAGAUGCGAAAGCGUGGGGAGCAAACAGGAUUAGAUACCCUGGUAGUCCACGCCGUAAACGAUGUCUACUUGGAGGUUGUGGCCUUGAGCCGUGGCUUUCGGAGCUAACCCGUUAAGUAGACCGCCUGGGGAGUACGGUCGCAAGAUUAAAACUCAAAUGAAUUGACGGGGGCCCGCACAAGCGGUGGAGCAUGUGGUUUAAUUCGAUGCAACGCGAAGAACCUUACCUACUCUUGACAUCCAGAGAACUUUCCAGAGAUGGAUUGGUGCCUUCGGGAACUCUGAGACAGGUGCUGCAUGGCUGUCGUCAGCUCGUGUUGUGAAAUGUUGGGUUAAGUCCCGCAACGAGCGCAACCCUUAUCCUUGUUUGCCAGCGAGUAAUGUCGGGAACUCCAGGGAGACUGCCGGUGAUAAACCCGGAGGAAGGUGGGGACGACGUCAGUCAUCAUGGCCCUUUACGAGUAGGGCUACACACGUGCUACAAUGGCGCAUACAGAGGGCAGCCAACUUGGCGAGAGUGAGCGGAAUCCCAAAAAGUGCCGUCGUAGUCCCGGAUCGAGUCUGCAACUCGACCUCCGUGAAGUCGGAAUCGCUAGUAAUCGUGGAUCAGAUUGCCACCGUGAAUACGUUCCCGGGACCUUGUAACCACCCGCCGGUCACACCAUGGGAGUGGGCCUGCCAAGAAAGUUAGUAGUUUUACCUUCAGAGACGCUAACCACUUUGGUGAUCCUAUGAACUGAGGGGAAGUGUCGUAAACGAUGGUAGAACCGGAAA